UACGUAGGGGGCAAGCGUUGUCCGGAAUCAUUGGGCGUAAAGUGCGUGUAGGCGGCCCGAUAAGUCCGCUGUGAAAGUCCAGGGCUCAACCCUGGGAUGCCGGUGGAUACUGUCGGGCUCGAGUCCGGAAGAGGCGAGUGGAAUUCCUGGUGUAGCGGUGAAAUGCGCAGAUAUCAGGAGGAACACCAAUGGCGAAGGCAGCUCGCUGGGACGUGACUGACGCUGAGACGCGAAAGCGUGGGGAGCAAACAGG
rnacentral:rRNA from 1 species